AUUGAACGCUGGCGGCAUGCCUUACACAUGCAAGUCGAACGGCAGCACGGGUGCUUGCACCUGGUGGCGAGUGGCGAACGGGUGAGUAAUACAUCGGAACAUGUCCUGUAGUGGGGGAUAGCCCGGCGAAAGCCGGAUUAAUACCGCAUACGAUCCACGGAUGAAAGCGGGGGACCUUCGGGCCUCGCGCUAUAGGGUUGACCGAUGGCUGAUUAGCUAGUUGGUGGGGUAAAGGCCUACCAAGACGACGAUCAGUAGCUGGUCUGAGAGGACGACCAGCCACACUGGGACUGAGACACGGCCCAGACUCCUACGGGAGGCAGCAGUGGGGAAUUUUGGACAAUGGGCGAAAGCCUGAUCCAGCAAUGCCGCGUGUGUGAAGAAGGACUUCGGGUUGUAAAGCACUUUUGUCCGGAAAGAAAUCCUUGACUCUAAUACAGUCGGGGGAUGACGGUACCGGAAGAAUAAGCACCGGCUAACUACGUG
rnacentral:rRNA from 1 species